GGGUUGUGAGGUUAAGCGAAUAAGCGUACACGGUGGAUGCCUAGGCAAUCAGAGGCGAUGAAGGACGUGCUAAUCUGCGAUAAGCGUCGGUAAGGUGAUAUGAACCGUUAUACCCGACGAUUUCCGAAUGGGGAAACCCAAUAUCCAAUGGAUAUUAUCAUUAACUGAAUACAUAGGUUAAUGAAGCGAACCGGGAGAACUGAAACAUCUCAGUACCCCGAGGAAAAGAAAUCAACCGAGAUUCCCCUAGUAGCGGCGAGCGAACGGGGAACAGCCCAGAGUCUUAAUCAAUAACAGCAUCAGGAGAACGGUCUGGAAAGUCCGGCAGUAAAGGGUGAUAGCCCCGUAUCCGAAGAUGUUGUUAUUGUGAACUCGACGAGUAGGGCGGGACACGUGUUAUCCUGUCUGAAUAUGGGGGGACCAUCCUCCAAGGCUAAAUACUCCUGAUUGACCGAUAGUGAACCAGUACCGUGAGGGAAAGGCGAAAAGAACCCCGGCGAGGGGAGUGAAAAAGAACCUGAAACCGUGUACGUACAAGCAGUAGGAGCCCCACCACUAAGCUAGUGGUGAACUCACAGCGAUUCUUUUGCAUGAUAAUGUGCGGUAGACGGAGCGAAUGCGACGUCCAACCAACAAAAUCAAGCAGAGGAGGCUUAGUGGUGGGGUGACUGCGUACCUUUUGUAUAAUGGGUCAGCGACUUAUAUUCUGUAGCGAGGUUAACCGUAUAGGGGAGCCGUAGGGAAACCGAGUCUUAACUGGGCGAAUGAGUUGCAGGGUAUAGACCCGAAACCCGGUGAUCUAUCCAUGGGCAGGUUGAAGGUUGGGUAACACUAACUGGAGGACCGAACCGACUAAUGUUGAAAAAUUAGCGGAUGACUUGUGGAUGGGGGUGAAAGGCCAAUCAAACCGGGAGAUAGCUGGUUCUCCCCGAAAGCUAUUUAGGUAGCGCCUCGUGAACUCAUCUUCGGGGGUAGAGCACUGUUUCGACUAGGGGGUCAUCCCGACUUACCAACUCGAUGCAAACUGCGAAUACCGAAGAAUGUUAUCACGGGAGACACACGGCGGGUGCUAACGUCCGUCGUGAAGAGGGAAACAACCCAGACCGCCAGCUAAGGUCCCAAAGUCAUGGUUAAGUGGGAAACGAAGUGGGAAGGCUCAGACAGCCAGGAUGUUGGCUUAGAAGCAGCCAUCAUUUAAAGAAAGCGUAAUAGCUCACUGGUCGAGUCGGCCCGCGCGGAAGAUGUAACGGGGCUAAACCAUGCACCGAAGCUGCGGCAGCGAACGUAUCACUUAAAUUUGUUUGAGUGAGACACGAUUGACGGAACGAAGUGACGUCAAUGCGUCCAUGAAAGUCGAGGCGAAAGCCCGAUAAGCGAAUUUAAGGAUACGUUCGUUGGGUAGGGGAGCGUUCUGUAAGCCUGCGAAGGUGUACUGUGAGGUAUGCUGGAGGUAUCAGAAGUGCGAAUGCUGACAUAAGUAACGAUAAUGCGGGUGAAAAACCCGCACGCCGGAAGACCAAGGGUUCCUGUCCAACGUUAAUCGGGGCAGGGUGAGUCGACCCCUAAGGCGAGGCUGAAAAGCGUAGUCGAUGGGAAACGGGUUAAUAUUCCCGUACUGGUGGUAACUGCGAUGGGGGAACGGAGAAGGCUAGGUUGUCCGGGCGACGGUCGUCCCGGUUCAAGCAUGUAGGCAGAGUGAUUAGGCAAAUCCGGUCACUUAAUGCUGAGGUGUGAUGACGAGCCACUAAGGUGGUGAAGCAAUUGAUGCCCUGCUUCCAGGAAAAGCCUCUAAGCUUCAGGUUACCAACAAUCGUACCCCAAACCGACACAGGUGGUCAGGUAGAGAAUACUCAGGCGCUUGAGAGAACUCGGGUGAAGGAACUAGGCAAAAUGGUGCCGUAACUUCGGGAGAAGGCACGCUGGCGGUAAGUGAAGUCCCUUGCGGACGGAGCCGAAGCCAGUCGAAGAUACCAGCUGGCUGCAACUGUUUAUUAAAAACACAGCACUGUGCAAACACGAAAGUGGACGUAUACGGUGUGACGCCUGCCCGGUGCUGGAAGGUUAAUUGAUGGGGUUAUCCUUAGGGAGAAGCUCUUGAUCGAAGCCCCAGUAAACGGCGGCCGUAACUAUAACGGUCCUAAGGUAGCGAAAUUCCUUGUCGGGUAAGUUCCGACCUGCACGAAUGGCGUAAUGAUGGCCAGGCUGUCUCCACCCGAGACUCAGUGAAAUUGAACUCGCUGUGAAGAUGCAGUGUACCCGCGGCAAGACGGAAAGACCCCGUGAACCUUUACUAUAGCUUGACACUGAACAUUGAGCCUUGAUGUGUAGGAUAGGUGGGAGACUAUGAAGUGUGGACGCCAGUCUGCAUGGAGUCAACCUUGAAAUACCACCCUUUAACGUUUGAUGUUCUAACCUAGGUCCAUAAUCUGGAUCGGGGACCGUGUCUGGUGGGUAGUUUGACUGGGGCGGUCUCCUCCUAAAGAGUAACGGAGGAGCACGAAGGUUGGCUAAGCAUGGUCGGACAUCAUGCGGUUAGUGCAAAGGCAUAAGCCAGCUUGACUGUGAGAGUGACGGCUCGAGCAGGUACGAAAGUAGGUCUUAGUGAUCCGGUGGUUCUGAAUGGAAGGGCCAUCGCUCAACGGAUAAAAGGUACUCCGGGGAUAACAGGCUGAUACCGCCCAAGAGUUCAUAUCGACGGCGGUGUUUGGCACCUCGAUGUCGGCUCAUCACAUCCUGGGGCUGAAGUAGGUCCCAAGGGUAUGGCUGUUCGCCAUUUAAAGUGGUACGCGAGCUGGGUUUAGAACGUCGUGAGACAGUUCGGUCCCUAUCUGCCGUGGGCGUUGGAAGAUUGAGAGGGGUUGCUCCUAGUACGAGAGGACCGGAGUGAACGCACCACUGGUGUUCGGGUUGUCAUGCCAAUGGCAUUGCCCGGUAGCUAAGUGCGGAAGAGAUAACCGCUGAAAGCAUCUAAGCGGGAAACUUGCCUCGAGAUGAGUCUUCCCUGUCACCUAGAGUGACCUAAAGGAACGUUUAAGACUAAGACGUUGAUAGGCUGGGUGUGUAAGCGUAGCGAUACGUUGAGCUAACCAGUACUAAUGAACCGUGAGGCUUAACCUGACAACACCGAAGGUGUUU
rnacentral:rRNA from 1 species